CUAGGAUGUUGCUGGGUCCAGAUCAGGCAGUGUGGUCCCCUGGUCUUCUAGUACCAGUGCUGUUGGCAAUGACGCUAGGCUUAGCAGAGACAGUUCAGAGGUGAGUGCAGUGGAGGUAGGAAGAAACCAGAGAGACACUGCACAACCGGGAGGCAACAGAGGCACAGUUAUAGUGGUGUUGGAGGAGUAUGGGGUUUUGGACAGUCCAGAGAUGGAGCUGAGCCCAGAGGACCCAUCUACAGGUGGUUCAUCGCCCCUUGAUUCAUCAUCUCCCUGGCCUGGUUCAUCACCUCUCCGGCCCCUCUCCCCAACGCCCAGGCCCUUCUUACCAACACCCAACCCACAAUCCAGGCGCACCCGUGCUCUCUGCCAUGCAACUCCAUCAACCUCCAC
rnacentral:lncRNA from 1 species